rnacentral:misc_RNA from 1 species
CCGAGUUUACAACUCCCAAACCCCUGUGAACCUUACCAGUCGUUGCUUCGGCGGUCACGCCCCGGUGCCCUCGUGCCCGGAUCAGUGCGCCCGCCGGAGGCCAAAAACCAUUGUGUAUUAUAUGUAUCAUCUGAGUGGCACAAGCAAAUAAAUCAAAACUUUCAACAACGGAUCUCUUGGUUCUGGCAUCGAUGAAGAACGCAGCGAAAUGCGAUAAGUAAUGUGAAUUGCAGAAUUCAGUGAAUCAUCGAAUCUUUGAACGCACAUUGCGCCCGCCAGUAUUCUGGCGGGCAUGCCUGUCCGAGCGUCAUUUCAACCCUCGCGCCCAUCUGGGCUGCGGUGUUGGGGACCGGCCUGCCCCCCCGGGGGCGCGCCGCCCCCCAAAAUCAGUGGCGGUCUCGCUGCAGCCUCCCUUGCGUAGUAGCACACCUCGCACCGGAGCGCAGCGCGGCCACGCCGUAAAACCCCCGACCCCCAUGAG